rnacentral:ncRNA from 1 species
AAUUUUUAUGUUUUAUAAAGUUUAUUAUAAGUUUAUUUUACAUAUAAAUUUUAGUAUGAAAUUUUAAUUAUUUAAAAAAUAAUUAAUUAAAAAUUAUAGUAAGUAAAAUUAAAAAUUUAAGAAAUUAAGAUUUAGUAAUAUAAAAAUUAAUAACUAAUUUUGUGCCAGCAGUUGCGGUUAUACAAAAAUUAAAUUAAAUUAUUUCAGUAUUUAAUAAAUAAAUAUAAUAUUAAAAUAAAUAUUAAAUUAUUAGGUGAAAUUUUAAUUUAAUUAAAUUUUAAAUUUAAUUUAUGAUUUAGUAAAUUUAAUAAUAAACUAGGAUUAGAUACCCUAUUAUUAUAAAUUUAAUUAAUAAUACUAAAAUAGUAGAUAAUAAAUAUUGAAACUUAAAUAAUAUGGCGGUAUUUUAGUUCAUUUAGAGGAAUCUGUUUAAUAAUUGAUAAUCCACGAAUAAAUUUACUUAAUUUAGUAUUUUAUAUAUCGUUGUUAAAAAAAUAUUUUAUAAUAAAAAUAAUAUUUUAAAAUUUAUAUAAUAAAUUAGUUCAAAUCAAGAUGUAGAUUAUAAUUAAGAAUAUAAUGGAUUACAAUAAAAUAAUUUAAAAUGAAUAAUUAAUUUUAAAAUUAAUUUAAAGGUGGAUUUAAAUGUAAUUUUAAUUAAUUUAUUAAAAUGAUUAAAAAUUGAAAUAUGUACAUAUUGCCCGUCACUUUCAUUUAAAAAUUGGAAUAAGUCGUAACAAAGUAGAAGUACUGGAAAGUGUUUCUAGAAUGAA